rnacentral:rRNA from 1 species
GUGGGGAAUAUUGGGCAAUGGGGGAAACCCUGACCCAGCAACGCCGCGUGAAGGAAGAAGGUUUUCGGAUCGUAAACUUCUAUCCUUGGUGAAGAUAAUGACGGUAGCCAAGAAGGAAGCCCCGGCUAACUACGUGCCAGCAGCCGCGGUAAUACGUAGGGGACAAGCGUUGUCCGGAAUGAUUGGGCGUAAAGGGCGCGUAGGCGGCCAGGUAAGUAUGUAGUGAAAGUCCUGCUUUUAAGUUGGGAAUUGCUUUGGAUACUGUCGGGCUUGAGUGCAGGAGAGGUAAGCGGAAUUCCCGGUGUAGCGGUGAAAUGCGUAGAGAUCGGGAGGAACACCAGUGGCGAAGGCGGCUUACUGGACUGUAACUGACGCUGAGGCGCGAAAGUGUGGGGAGCAAACAGGAUUAGAAACCCUGGUAGUCC